GUGAUUGUAGCUCAGCAGGUUAGAGCGCUGGUUUGUGGCACCAGAGGUCGCCGGUUCGAAUCCGGUCUUUCACCCA
rnacentral:tRNA from 1 species